CCCGUGCCAUCGACGUCAAAAAUGAACCAAAAAAAAAGGAACAAAAGGGCAAGUAGGAGCAUGCAAAUCCAAAGGCGCUCACAUGCAGAAAAAGUGACAGUCUGUUUCCACUGUACCCAAAAAGACCAAAGGUCACAAUCAACAUUCAUUGCUGUCGCUGGGUUGGACUGUGUAGAAAAGCUCACUGAACAAUGAGUGCAACUGUGGCCCAGAUCUGCCUGACUCUUGUCUCAGCCAAUCAGCCGACCGGAUGUGAAGCACUCUGAUUUCUUUAUUUAUGUACUUCUUGUUUUUCACUUCUAUUUUCUCCUUUCUUCCUCCCUCCCUGGUGCUGGGAGUCUUCAGGGGAAGAGAGGGAGAAAUAGAGAGAGACACAAAUAGACUUCUGGCUGCUUUGCUUGUCCUCAUCCUCCUCUUUUCUCCUCUAAUUGGUGGUUAUGUGUGCAGCAAGGGGGAAGGAAGCGGAGUGAAUGUGUAAUCAUUUGGAGUCUCUUCUCCUUUAGAUGUUUCAUCCCUCUCUUUUUUGUUUGUCUAAUUAUAUACCGAGAUCGGUUAACUCUGUGUUAACUACGCUGGCAAGAAUCCGUGAGCAGCAAAAUCAGGGCAGAUGAGGGGAAGGAAAAAGAUGUAGGGAUGAAAUUACCAGUGGAAAGAUGAUCUAUAGCCUUAACAGUAUUUUCUAAAAUAUCACCUUCGUGUCGCCGUAUUUGUCCCAGGAAGUAAGUUGUUUUCAUAUGCAGAAAAGAGAUUCACCUUUCUGACACCGUCUCAUUAUCUGUGUGUGAGCCUCAUAAGAGACAGUGUGAGAGACUCUUCCUCUCUAUGUAUGUGUGUGUGUGUGUUUGUGCACGUACACCAUGACAGAGGGCCUGUCUGCUGAUCUCAGGAUGCAAUAUGUUAUUUUCUUUCUGUACUGAAACAGACUCCCCCCUCAUGGGAAGUCUACAUCCUUGUCUGCUUUCAGUCUGGGUCCGGCCUUGCUGCUGCCAUUUCUCAUUGUGUUUGUGUGUAAAAUAUGUGUAAAGAAAAAAAUGUGUUAAAUGAACUCCGUGUCUGUAAUCCAUAUCACAGUUUAGAGUUAUUUAUCUUUUUUGCUGAUUCAGUCAUUAAUUCAAUAAAGUUUAGACAGAAUCUAUCCUUCACUGUCUCAUGUGAUCAUUUACAGGCUGGAGCUAUGCAUGAAAUUUGAUGUUCUGAUUCUGAAUACCCCUCUGAUUUCCUUUAAACAAGGCCUCAUGUCUCUCUUUUUACACAUUAUGCACUUCUUCAGUCAUUUAGUAACCAAGCCCCAUGUCCAUGUCCCCAGUCUCUCUGUAUUAUUCAUAGAAAAGCACUUUGUACAGUGGUGCAGAACAGUGGAGGUGAUGUAAUCAUGGCUGCGAGCGUGGCUCCACUCUGUCAUUUAGGAUGAAUUCAUGUGACAAGAAAAAAACACUCAUUUGUUUGUCAGCUUUGACUC